UACGAAGGGUGCAAGCGUUACUCGGAAUUACUGGGCGUAAAGCGUGCGUAGGCGGUUUGUUAAGUCCGUUGUGAAAGCCCUGGGCUCAACCUGGGAAUUGCAGUGGAUACUGGCGAGCUAGAGUGCGGUAGAGGAUGGUGGAAUUCCCGGUGUAGCGGUGAAAUGCGUAGAGAUGUGGAGGAACACCAGUGGCGAAGGCGGCCUGCUGGGCUAUGGCUGACACUGAGGCGCGACAGCGUGGGGAGCAAACAGG
rnacentral:rRNA from 1 species